UAUAGAUUGAAUAUAAAAGUGGCCUCUUUGAGAGAAAUAUUUCCCACAAUCAGAAUAAAAAUAAGGUUUCUCUCCUGUAUGGCUCCUCAAAUGAUGCUUAAGAUUAGAAGCGGCUGAAAAACAUUUCUCACACUCAGAACAAAAAUAUAUUUUUUUAACAUUCUCUCCACUUUGAACGAAAUGACGUUUGGGAAGAGAUUUUGUAUGAGUAGGUUUUUCAUGUACGAUACGGGAACAUGAUUUAGAUCCUUGGUAAGUUUUGCGAGAUCCAAUAGUGUGUAUGUAGG